rnacentral:rRNA from 1 species
UACGUAGGGUCCGAGCGUUGUCCGGAGUUACUGGGCGUAAAGCGCGCGCAGGCGGCGGUGUUGGCCCGGCGUGAAAGCCCCCGGCUCAACCGGGGAGGGUCGUCGGGGACCGCACCGCUUGAGGGCGGUAGGGGCUGGUGGAAUGCCUGGUGUAGUGGUGAAAUGCGUAGAGAUCAGGCGGAACACCCGUGGCGAAGGCGGCCAGCUGGGCCGUCCCUGACGCUGAGGCGCGAAGGCGUGGGGAGCGAACGGG